GAAAAUAAUAAUUACUAAGCACAGUAAAUCAAUAAUUCCGGAAGAAGAUAGAGAGCAAUCAAUCGGUCGGUCAUACCACAACGGAAGAGCAUAACUUUGGUCAACCAGUCUUGGAGAAGCAAUCGAUUGGCUGUCGAGCUGGUGGUCUUCGUCUGUGAGCUGAUGUAACUCUGCUCCGAUUCUUCAUCAACUUGAAGAAGAAAAAUUCGAAACAUCAAAGUUAGGACAUAAACAAAUUAAAAUAUUCCAAUAUAUUCAAAAAUCAAAUCGUUUAUAACGAGCUAGAAGAGUGCAGAGAACGAGAGAGAGAGAGAGAGAGAGAGAGCGCAUACUUGUUCAUGGGCCGGCCCUAAGAAACAUCAAGAUCUGCAGUUCUCCUCGAGAAACAUCAAGGAGUUUUUGAAUAUGGAUCCGACGGAGUAGGUGGUGUCGGGCUUAAGAUCCAAUGAGCACCGCCAGAGUGACGGACGGAGCACAUCGGCCUCUGCUUGCCUCGUUGUAAUAGAUGUCGAUCCGCUCAAGAUGUAAGGUCGGAGUCGCCAAUGUACCUGUCGCUGCCGUCGAU
rnacentral:lncRNA from 1 species